UGGGGAAUCUUGCGCAAUGCGCGACAGCCUGACGGAGCAAUACCGCGUGAGGGAGGAAGGCUUUUGGGUUGUAAACCUCUUUUCUCAAGGAAGAAGCACUGACGGUACUUGAGGAAUCAGCAUCGGCUAACUCCGUGCCAGCGGCCCCGGUAAUACGGAGGAUGCAAGCGUUAUUCGGAAUUAUUGGGCGUAAAGCGUCCGCAGGUGGUGCCUCAAGUCUGCUGUCAAAGACCGAAGCUCAACUUCGGGCAGGCAGUGGAAACUGAAGCACUAGAGUACGGUAGGGGUAGAGGGAAUUUCCAGUGUAGCGGUGAAAUGCGUAGAGAUUGGAAAGAACACCAGUGGCGAAGGCGCUCUACUGGACCGUAACUGACACUCAGGGACGAAAGCUAGGGGAGCGAAAGGGAUUAGAUACCCCCGUAGUCC
rnacentral:rRNA from 1 species